GGCGGGUUAAAUUUUUUCAGUGAGCGGGCUUGCUUUUCAUCUUCCAAAAUUGUGUUUUGAUACUAGCGGGCUGGUCAUAUUUUCUAUCUUUCUCAUUUCUUACUUCUGUUCUUGCCGAACUUCACAAAAACCUAAAUUGUCACAUCUGAAAACCUCCCCACAAAAUCCCAUCUGAAAACACAUCUUCAGCCUAAUCGAAGCUUACAAGGUUUCUUUGGAGGAGAACGAAGAGGAGAUUCAUAGCUUUCAUUGAAAAAAAACGGCAAAGCAAUCGGAUGCGCGAUUCAAGAGUUAUGGACAAAGAAGUGGGCUGCUGAAUUGGGGCACCCGCCCAAAAUCUAGCGCACCCGCCCCAAAUCUGGCGCACCCGCACCAAACUGGCAGCGAAUUUAAGCCCGUUUGCCCGUUUCUGAUCCGUUUCAAGGCCCGAUCGCUGGGGAAGUUUAAGAAAGGCUUGGGGGGACUAAAGUAAUAACCUAGAAACAUUCUAAGGAGCACGUGACGGCUACGGAGAAGAUCAAGAAUGAAUUUCAUAGCUUUUACUUUUGUAAUUCUUCGAAGUAGGCGUAACUUUGGAUGCUCGUUUCGGAUUUGUUUCUUAACUCUUGUUCUAGUACUUUGAUUUUGUUUUUCCUAUUCAGUACCAUGUUUACAUUCGAACCCAUGAUGAUGAGAAGUUCGAUUAUGAACUAAUCAUUGUCAUGGGAUUUUAGCGGAUUUAUCGAUGAAUUUCAGUAGUUAAAUUGCCUUGUUCAUAUGUGAUGGUUUAA